GAUGAAGAACGCAGCGAAAUGCGAUAAGUAAUGUGAAUUGCAGAAUUCAGUGAAUCAUCGAAUCUUUGAACGCACAUUGCGCCCGCUGGUAUUCCGGCGGGCAUGCCUGUUCGAGCGUCAUUUCGACCCUCAAGCUCUCCGGAGUUUGGUGUUGGGGCGCCUGGGGCUUUUCGACCUCAGGGCCCUCAAGUCCAUCGGCGGGACCGCCAGGACACUGAGCGCAGUAGUAUUAUUUCGCUCGGUAGGAUCUUCCACGGCGGGUCGAUCUGGCCGCUAAACCCCCCAAUUCUCACCAAAGGUUGACCUCGGAUCAGGUAGGAAUACCCGCUGAACUUAAGCAUAUCAAUAAGCGGAGGA
rnacentral:misc_RNA from 1 species